rnacentral:ncRNA from 17 species
UAAGAGGGAACCCGGUGGAAGUCCGGGACUGCCCCGCAGCGGUGAGCGGGAACGACCGCCGUCACACGCACUGGACCCCGACGGUCCGGGAAGCGACGGCCAGUAGGAGCCCCGCCGGGAGACCGGCAGGCGUGCCCGCGAGUCCGAAGACCU